ensembl:lncRNA
GGAGAAGAAUCUGGCUGGAGUCGCAGCUUUCAUUCAAAGGGAAUAAUCCCACUCCUCUCCACAUUCGCCACGUAUGUUUUCUUAAAAAGAUUCUUUCAAGUCUGGCAGCUGAGACUCACAUUUCCGAUCCGGACACCCGUUUCAUAACCAGCUCAGCUGCUGACCCAGUUAAAUAAUAAUGAGCGAUUUUCAUAAAUCUAAACGUUCCCUCAGAAGAACCCAGUGGAAGAGGCUGCAGGGUGGUGCUUGGGGGGCCUGGCUGGAUGUGGGAGUGACGGGACAAAGUUGGAGUGCUCGUCUAUGGAAUCUGUGCCCUUUGUGUGGAAAACAAUACCUCCAGAUGCACCUGCAUGCUGGUGUUGUGACCCAAACACCAUCUCAUGAUGAAGUCUUCCUGAGCCCUCAGCGCUUUUCGGUCCUCGGGGCCUCAGAAUGGGGGCAUCCGCUCUCCUCUCGCCAAGGUGCCCACCUGAGGGACUCACUCGAGGACUGAGCACCAGCCCCAGCUCUCUUCCAUGGGCCGUCUGUCCUGCUCUGGGGCUGAGGCCACCCUGAGAAGGAGCACCAUUGCCGAAGAGGUCCGCGUAAGCAGCCCUCUCUUACCUUAGCUCCACAAAGGCCCGUGAGUGCAGUGGGGGCUCCGCGGGCAUCACGUAUGUUCCCAAUCCGCAGAUAUUGAUAAACAGCAGAAGAGGACAGGUGGCCAGUUAUUUUUGCCAUCAGAAUAGAGGACUUUAUGUCCAAAAGGAUUGGAAAACCUCGGGUGGAAAACCUGUGUGGACCAUUUCCAAUUUUCUGCAGAGGCACGUGUGGUCAGAUCCUGUCGAUCUUGUCUCUGUUAAGGGGUGAGCUUUGGAACUUCAUUCUGCUUUUAGAUUAAUUUUUCUCGCAGUAUAGUUGUUUUACAAUGUUGUGUUACUUCCUGCUGUACAGUAAAGUGAAUCAGCUUUAUGUUCACAUAUAUCCAGCCCCCCCUUUUUUUUGUGGGCGGCUUCCCUUGUAGCUCAGUCGGUAACGAAUCCGCCUGCAAUGCAGGAGACCUGGGUUCGAUCCCUGGGUUGGGAAGAUCCCCUGGAGAAGGAAAUGGCUCCCACUCCAGUAUUGUUGCCUGGAGAAUCCCAUGGACAGAGGAGCCUGGAGGGCUACAGUCCACGGGGUUGCAAGAGUCAGACACAACUUAGCAACUACACCACCACCACCAUCUCUUUUUUGGGAUUUGCUUCCUACUUAGACUACACAGAGCACUGAGUGUAACUUCAUUCUUACGCACACACAGAUACACAGUAAUAGGCACACACACACACACAAUCACACACACAUAUACAUCAUACCCCUGCUUUUGAGACGCAGGCUAUUUGCCCUUUCGUUUGCUCACCAGGCCUACUUUUGUCUCUAAUUUCCAGAGCCUUUACUCCCCUCAUUCAUUCCCAUUAUUCUCUAUUGGUGCAGCCUCCCUUCUCCAGUACUCUUGCCUGGAGAAUCCCAGGGACGGAGGAGCCUGGUGGGCUGCAGUCCAUGGGGUCGAGAAGAGUCGGACACGACUGAGCAACUUCACUUUCCCUUUUCCCUUUCAUGCAUUGGAGAAGGAAAUGGCAACCCACUCCAGUGUUCUUGCCUGGAGAAUCCCAGGGACGGGGGAGCCUGGUGGGCUGCCGUUUUGGGGUCGCAUAGAGUCGGAUACGACUGAAGCAACUUAGCAGCAGGAGCUGUUCUCAUCCCAGAUGCAUUCCGAGUUAACCUGGGAUUGAAAGACACAUUUCUCUCCUGUCCUGCCUACCCUCUGGGUCUCAGGUUUCCAGCUCUCCGAUCUGUGUGUGUCCUGCUUUCUUUCCUGGUGGAGCUCCAUCUCCAGGAAGGCUGCCAGGGUCUCUGGAGUGAGAGCUCUGUUAGUGAUUUCUGUCUUCCCUUCCCACAUCGCACUCUAUGCAGCUCUUUCUUGGCAGGGGGAGCCCAAUAAGUCAGUGACCCAUCUGAACAGACAUCAGAGGAAGGGUCAAGGCAGCUCAGAAGAAGGCCUAAUGUCACAGGGGACAUCGGAUGAUGGCUUCCAAGGAGCCCCCUUCCUCUGACAGGGGAGGGAGGCAGCUGGCUGACCACGUGAUGAUGCGACGGGCACAGGGCAGCCUGGUACCUCAGAGGCCCUCAAUAGCUGUUUUGUUGGAAGAAUGGGUCAACUGUACUUCCAAGUCAAUUUGAGCUUAAAGCAGGAAGGGAUUCACAGGCUGCCCACCACUGCCACGGAACCGACAGUCUUUUGAAAGCAUUAAGAAAAUUCUGAAUGUAAGCUUGGUGGAGGAAUAAAAAUGGAUACUAAUGAUUAGCA